rnacentral:rRNA from 1 species
AUUGAACGCUGGCGGCAGGCCUAACACAUGCAAGUCGAACGAGUGGCGGACGGGUGAGUAAUGUAUGGGAAACUGCCUGAUGGAGGGGGAUAACUACUGGAAACGGUAGCUACUACCGCAUAACAUCAUAUGUGCCCAGAUGGGAUUAGCGUGUUGGUGGGGUAACGGCUCACCAAGGCGACGAUCCCUAGCUGGUCUGCGAGGAUGACCGGCCACACUGGGACUGAGACACGGUCCAGACUCCUACGGGAGGCAGCAGUGGGGAAUAUUGCACAAUGGGCGAAAGCCUGAUGCAGCCAUGCCGCGUGUAUGAAGAAGGCCUUCGGGUUGUAAAGUACUUUCAGCGGGGAGGCGUUAUCCGACGAAGAAGCACCGGCUAACUCCGUGCCAGCCGCCGCGGUAAUAC